ensembl:snoRNA
GUCCUUCUGUGGUUCGUAAGCAUGAAGAUUGGGUUUUUACACUAUUGUGUGAGAUGUGCCUCCCUCAAACUUUAUCACAAUGUCAGCACAUUACCCCCUAAUGUGAAA